rnacentral:rRNA from 1 species
GACGAACGCUGGCGGCGUGCUUAACACAUGCAAGUCGAACGGAAAGGCCCUGCUUUUGUGGGGUGCUCGAGUGGCGAACGGGUGAGUAACACGUGAGUAACCUGCCCCUGACUUUGGGAUAACAUCAGGAAACUGGGGCUAAUACCGGAUAGGAGCUCCUGCUGCAUGGGGGGGGUUGGAAAGUUUCGGCGGUUGGGGAUGGACUCGCGGCUUAUCAGCUUGUUGGUGGGGUAGGUGCUUACCAAGGCUUUGACGGGUAGCCGGCCUGAGAGGGUGACCGGCCACAUUGGGACUGAGAUACGGCCCAGACUCCUACGGGAGGCAGCAGUGGGGAAUAUUGCACAGUGGGCGGAAGCCUGAUGCAGCAACGCCGCGUGCGGGAUGACGGCCUUCGGGUUGUAAACCGCUUUCGCCUGUGACGAAGCGUGAGUGACGGUAAUGGGUAAAGAAGCACCGGCUAACUACGUG